rnacentral:tRNA from 1 species
GGCUUGUUAGCUCAGUUGGUAGAGCGCUGCACCAGUAUCGCAGAGGUCAUGGGUUCAAAUCCCGUACAGGCCU